rnacentral:rRNA from 1 species
GACGAACGCUGGCGGCGUGCCUAAUACAUGCAAGUAGAACGCUGAAGAGAGGAGCUUGCUCUUCUUGGAUGAGUUGCGAACGGGUGAGUAACGCGUAGGUAACCUGCCUUGUAGCGGGGGAUAACUAUUGGAAACGAUAGCUAAUACCGCAUAACAAUGGAUGACACAUGUCAUUUAUUUGAAAGGGGCAAUUGCUCCACUACAAGAUGGACCUGCGUUGUAUUAGCUAGUAGGUGAGGUAACGGCUCACCUAGGCGACGAUACAUAGCCGACCUGAGAGGGUGAUCGGCCACACUGGGACUGAGACACGGCCCAGACUCCUACGGGAGGCAGCAGUAGGGAAUCUUCGGCAAUGGGGGCAACCCUGACCGAGCAACGCCGCGGGAGUGAAGAAGGUUUUCGGAUCGGAAAGCUCUGUUGUAAGUCAAGAACGAGUGUGAGAGUGGAAAGUUCACACUGUGACGGUAGCUAACCAGAAAGGGACGGCUAACUACGUG